AGAUAUGAGGGCGAUCUGACUGUGACAUCUGUCACUCUAUUGAUCGCCAGGGUUGAUUCGGCUGAUCUGGCUAGCUAGGCAGGAGUCCCCUUCCUCCCUCACCACUCCAUGUGCUUCCCUCUUGAAGCUGUGCACACUCAGUGGAAGAGGACAGCCAUCCCCAAUAGAGGAAGGCCAGUCUGCAGUCAAGGGUAUACAAGUAGCUGCAUUCCCCUACUAGAACCUCCAAACAAGCUCUCAAGGUUCAUUUGUAAGAGAACGUAGGGUUCUUUGAAGUCAAGCUUCCAAGACUCCAGACACAUCCAAGUGAGUUGCUGCAUGUGGCAGUCUGCCUUUCUUU
ensembl:misc_RNA RN7SKP160 RN7SK pseudogene 160